UACAUUGUGCUGAAAUAUGGGAAGACUAUAAAAAGAAUAAUGUUUUUUUGAAGACUAUAAAAAGAAUGAGAACAAGUCAGAUGUUGUUGAGGACUUUCUUUCUGCUGAAGCAACUGUUGAUGCCAUCAAGUAUUCCAUGGACCUAUAUGCUUCUUACAUUGUGGGAUCAACGAGUUUUUCAAACAAAACAAAGGCAUAGUGAAGCUAUCCUGAAGCAAAUUGUUCAAACUUUACUGUGUAGGGUAAGCCUGCAACCCAGAUUAGCACAUAAAGUAGAAGAACUCAAUUUCUAUCCUUAGGCUAGCUUGUUUGAUGCUGGAGCAGUUAUGUUUUUUUCUUUGUUUUGGUUGAGUUCUGAACCUGGGACUAUGUCCAGGUUCCAGACUAUUAUUUGAGAAUUGUGUAAACUUCCUAUUUGGUAAAUAAUAAAGUUAGUUACCCAAAAAAAAAAAAAAGUUUGCCAUGGACCUGUAUGCUUCUUACAUUGUGGAAAGUUUGAGGCAGUGAUCUUGUUGAGGACAUGCCGUUGUCGGUAUUGAAAAUCUAAGAAGAGAAGCCGGUUGACUUGUUGAAGAUGCC
rnacentral:lncRNA from 1 species